GAUGAAGAACGUAGCGAAAUGCGAUAAGUAAUGUGAAUUGCAGAAUUCAGUGAAUCAUCGAAUCUUUGAACGCACAUUGCGCCCGCCAGUAUUCUGGCGGGCAUGCCUGUUCGAGCGUCAUUUCAACCCUCAAGCCCAGCUUGGUGUUGGGGAUCGGCACAGGCGCCCUCGGGCGCCCGCCGUCCCCUAAAUCUAGUGGCGGUCCCGCUGCAGCCUCCUCUGCGUAGUAGUUUUCUCCUCGCAAGGGUAGCUCGGUGGCGACCUCGCCGUAAAACCCCCAACUUCUGAAAGGUUGACCUCGAAUCAGGUAGGAAUACCCGCUGAACUUAAGCAUAUCAAUAACGGAGGA
rnacentral:misc_RNA from 1 species